UACGUAGGGCGCAAGCGUUGUCCGGAAUUAUUGGGCGUAAAGAGCUCGUAGGCGGCCUGUUACGUCUGCUGUGAAAUCCCGGGGCUUAACCCCGGGCGUGCAGUGGAUACGGGCAGGCUGGAGGCAGGCAGGGGAGAACGGAAUUCCCGGUGGUAGCGGUGAAAUGCGCAGAUAUCGGGGAGGAACACCGGUGGCGAAGGCGGUUCUCUGGGCCUGUACUGACGCUGAGGAGCCGAAAGCGUGGGGAGCGAACAGG
rnacentral:rRNA from 1 species